rnacentral:rRNA from 1 species
CCGAUGCGCGCUUACCUGCAGUCCAAGGUAAGGCCCCUUCGGGGGUACACCAGUGGCGAACGGGUGAGUAACACGUGGGUAAUCUGCCCUGCACUUCGGGAUAAGCCUGGGAAACCGGGUCUAAUACCGGAUAUGAGCUCCUGCCGCAUGGUGGGGGUUGGAAAGUUUUUCGGUGCAGGAUGAGUCCGCGGCCUAUCAGCUUGUUGGUGGGGUAAUGGCCUACCAAGGCGACGACGGGUAGCCGGCCUGAGAGGGUGAUCGGCCACACUGGGACUGAGACACGGCCCAGACUCCUACGGGAGGCAGCAGUGGGGAAUAUUGCACAAUGGGCGGAAGCCUGAUGCAGCGACGCCGCGUGGGGGAUGACGGUCUUCGGAUUGUAAACUCCUUUCAGUAGGGACGAAGCGAGAGUGACGGUACCUGCAGAAGAAGCACCGGCCAACUACGUGCCAGCAGCCGCGGUAAUACGUAGGGUGCAAGCGUUGUCCGGAAUUACUGGGCGUAAAGAGCUCGUAGGCGGUUUGUCACGUCGUCUGUGAAAUCCUCCAGCUCAACUGGGGGCGUGCAGGCGAUACGGGCAGACUUGAGUACUACAGGGGAGACUGGAAUUCCUGGUGUAGCGGUGAAAUGCGCAGAUAUCAGGAGGAACACCGGUGGCGAAGGCGGGUCUCUGGGUAGUAACUGACGCUGAGGAGCGAAAGCAUGGGGAGCAAACAGAUUAGAUACCCUGGUAGUCCAUGCCCGUAAACGGUGGGCGCUAAGUGUGGGGGUCUUCCCCGGAUUCCCUGCCCUAGCUAACGCAUUAGCGCCCCCCCCGGGGAGUACCGCCCCC